rnacentral:lncRNA from 1 species
AGUCUUUGAGUGCUUGGUUGAACUUCCCGGCACCAAUUACUCGAAAGCAAAGAGAAUCGAAUAUUACCCUGACGCCCUUCACGAAUUAUCUUCAGCGUCCCAUACAACGUGGUUGUCAUGGUUACCUCUAGCUUGGAAUGUCAAGUUAGCUUACAUUUGGAAUUGGUUAUGGCAUUGAAGGUACUUUAUCGGUACUGGAAUUCUCGGUUUUCAUGGGUGCUCGACAAGAUGUUUGUCAUUGCGGUGAACGCCAGAUAUUUCAGAAGAAAAGUGCCUGAAUCUAUUCUUUUCCCUGUACAUAUCAUCAGUUAAAAAUCCCUAUAUUUUGCAUAAAAUUAUUAAUCAUAUCACUAUUUAUAUUAUUAUAUAUUAUCUAUAUGGUAUCACUAUUUAUAUAUUAUCUAUAUGGUAAUCCAAUGCAUAAAAUGUAAGAAUUAAAAACCGAAUAGAUUUACGAAAGUGGUUCAUAAAAAUGGGUAGAAAAAAUAUCUAUUAAUAUAUUUACAUUAUGAAACUAGUUUUUAAAGCAUUUUCCGAAUUUCUUUUCUUUCCGAAUUUUAUUACAAAGUUUGCAAUUAAAACUCUCAUUAACAAACAUAAUAUUGAGUAUAUGCAUCUAUAUUAGUUUUUAAAUUCCUUUAUAUGUUUAAAUAUUUUCCCUAAAUUUGCAAAACAGUUUUCUAAACUUAGCUACAAGAUCAGUUGCAACGCAAAUGUUACGACCUAAGCCUUUCAGAACAUAUUUUACUCAUAAUUUUUAAUUAAGCCUUAUUAACAUGGCUCUUUUCAUAAACAUAACUAUUGUUAAAUAUUAAAUAUGAUCCUUUUUUAUGAUGAUUUGUUAUAAAAAAGUUCUUUAUAAGAGAAUAAGCUGACAGAAGUGUUGACAUAUUACAUCCAAAACAGGUCAAGAUUUUGCAAGAAACUAAUCCUUUUCAAUAAUAAUGUAAAUUAUAAAAUAGAUCAAAAAUGAAAAUAAUUGCAUUUUUGAUAAAAAGCAUCAACUUUCAAACUUUAUUAAUCAGGAGCUCUUAUUUAUCUGUAAUUCGUUCUCAUUGCGCUCCAUGUUUUCCCCUUUUAUACAAUGAAUCAAGAAUCUAUCGAAAAGAACUCUUUAAAAUCCGUUAAUAUAGGAUCACCACGCAGUUUUAAUAGCUUCAGUAUUUAAUUAGCAAUAACAAAUUCAUGAAUGUUUUUGAAUUUUAAACAAUUAAUUUGGAGUGUAACUUUUGCUACAAAUCUAAGCAUACUGUACUAUAUGUAAUUUUGUUUUCAGUCAGGGAAAAAAAAAAAAAAAAAAGAAAAAAAGAAAAAAAACCCUUGUACACCUCAGAUCAACCACUUUUAUUUUCUUGAGUCUUUCGUUAUAGAUUUUAAUAUCAAAAAAACCUUAACUAAAAAUACAUACUAAACUCGGUGAAGUAUUGUUUCUAUGUAAACGUCUCAGAUGCUUGUUAUCACUUUCAUAUGUAAGAUGUCUGAAAAACGGAGUGUUGUUUUUUAGGCGUUAAAUAUGAAUAUUGCUGAAUAUGAAAUGUUUGUUUAUAAGCAGCAUAUGCUUGAAAUGUUAAUUGAUGUUGUUAUACGCUCACAUUUAUAUUUUAUCUUGUAUUUUGCGUUUAUAAUAACGCAUCCUUUAUAAAAAAACAUUUUGGAAUUAUUUUAUAAAUAAUAUAAUUUUUUGCUUGCUGAUGCUAACGUAUCAUGAUACAAUGUGAAGCUUGUUAUUUAAUACAUGUAUUACAUGUACACACAUGUCUAAUACAAUGUGUAUAAUACAUUAUACAUUUAUUCCAAGGUAUGUCCUAUAAUGACUGUGAAAACUGUAUGUAAAAUAUGCCGUUUUAUAAAGAAACAUCCAAGAACAAAUGUAAAAUAAAAAUGUGAAUUGAUUUUGAA